AUUGAACGCUGGCGGCAGGCCUAACACAUGCAAGUCGAACGAGUGGCGGACGGGUGAGUAAUGUCUGGGAAACUGCCGGAUGGAGGGGGAUAACUACUGGAAACGGUAGCUAAUACCGCAUACCAUCAGAUGUGCCCAGAUGGGAUUAGCUAGUUGUGGGGGGAACGGCUCAACAAGGCGACGAUCCCUAGCUAGUCGGAGAGGAGGACCAGCCACUAUGGAAGUGAGACACGUUCCAGAAUCCUACGGGAGUCAGCAGUGGGGAAUAUUGCACCAUGGGCGCAAGCCUGAUGCAGCCAUGCCGCGUGUAUGAAGAAGGCCUUCGGGUUGUAAAGUACUUUCAGCGUGGAGGCGUUACCCGCAGAAGAAGCACCGGCUAACUCCGUGCCAGCAGCCGCGGUAAUUC
rnacentral:rRNA from 1 species